GGAGGGUAUAGCUCAAGUGAUAGAGUACAUGCUUAAGAUGCAUGAGGUCCUGGGUUCAAUCCCCAGUACCUCUA
rnacentral:tRNA from 1 species